GGUCAGAUAGCACAGUGGUUAGUGCACAGACAGUCUUGAUUAUGGAAUGCCAUGUCGUCCGCUACCCUCGUUCGAUUCGGGGUCUGUCCA